AGGGCACCACCAGGAGUGGAGCCUGCGGCUUAAUUUGACUCAACACGGGAAAACUUACCCGGCCCGGACACUGUAAGGAUUGACAGAUUGGGAGCUCUUUCUUGAUUCGGUGGGUGGUGGUGCAUGGCCGUUCUUAGUUGGUGGAGCGAUUUGUCUGGUUAAUUCCGAUAACGAACGAGACUCUAGCCUGCUAAAUAGCCAACUGAUCCGCAGCGUCGGUUGCUAACAAAGCUUCUUAGAGGGACAGGCGGCUUCCAGUCGCACGAGAUUGAGCAAUAACGGGUCUGUGAUGCCCUUAGAUGUCCGGGGCCGCACGCGCGCUACACUGAAGGAAUCAACGUGCUUUUCUACCUUGGCCGGAAGGCCUGGGGAAUCCGAUGAAACUCCUUCGUGAUUGGGAUUGAGCUUUGUAACUAUCGCUCAUGAACGAGGAAUUCCCAGUAAGCGCGAGUCAUAAGCUCGCGUUGAUUACGUCCCUGCCCUUUGUACACACCGCCCGUCGCUACUACCGAUUGAAUG
rnacentral:rRNA from 1 species